rnacentral:rRNA from 1 species
AUUGAACGCUGGCGGCAGGCCUAACACAUGCAAGUCGAACGAGUGGCGGACGGGUGAGUAAUGUCUGGGAAACUGCCUGAUGGCGGGGGCUAACUACUGGAAACGGUAGCUAAUACCGCAUACCAUCAGAUGUGCCCAGAUGGGAUUAGCUGGUGGGGGGGGUAACGGCUCACCAAGGCGACGAUCCCUAGCUGGUCUGAGAGGAUGAACAGCCACACUUGAACGGAGACACGGACCAGACUCCUCCGGGAGGCAGCAGUAGGGAAUAUUGCACAAGGGGCGCAAGCCUGAUGCAGCCAUGCCGCGUGUGUGAAGAAGGCCUGCGGGUUAUAAAGUACUUUCAGCGGGGAGGCGUUACCCGCAGAAAAGGCACCGGCUAACUCCGUGCCAGCAGCCGCGGUAAUAC